CACACACACACACACACACACACACAUGCCCACGGCCUGACGCUGGGAAGGAGGUCGCGUACGAAACGAACGGCUCAUCACUCGGAGCCUUUUCUGUCUGCGCAUUCUGCCGUGAAUGCUGCUCUCGUUGCAUAGCGGCAUCGCAUCAGCUCUUUGCCUUUUACUCGUCCACCAUGAGCGCCCUUCGCGAUGCGCCUGGAUAUGCUACAAUGAAGGACUACUACGACAGCGAAUACGUUCCCCAUGACUUGCUCACACGCUACCACGCACUGCAGGUAGAGCUGCAGAAGCGCAGGGAGCAGCACUUCCUGACGCUCUCGAAGACAAGCGGUUUAGCGGUGCCUUACGACGCCCUCGCAGUCACGUCGACCUUGCCUCAGCUGACAGUUAACCCCUCGGCGAAGACGAGGCGCGCGAAUCCACACCAGCAGCAGAUGUCGCCGCGGAGCCUGCGAUCGCUGCAGAGAGUCCUGCAACGCAGCCGCAGCACGUUGGCCAAAAGCGACUCUGGUGGGCAAACUGCGAGCCGCCUUGGCAGUGCCAACCGCUGCGUUCCGCGUGCAAGCACGGAGCUGGAGGAGAUCUACGCGCCGCGGCACCGCAGCCACAACGGUGCCCUCGGCGCUUGCACCCCUAUGCACGACUCUGUCGCUCGCGCCUCAUCGGCACGACGCACCGCCUCUCCCUCGGCAUCCUCUGUUGGUGCUGAUGCUGCAUCACCGCCACAGGCCGCGUUGCCGAUUAGUGCACCGCAGCUUCGUAGUCGACCGCAGAGGCAGCAGUACCGAUCACUCGCAAAGGCCUGCGCUGGGGGGCCCACCCCAAGCGACCCCUACGAGGCAGCGGCUGAGGCUCGCCGCCAGGAGCGAUUCCUGAGUGAAAGCAAGCGCCUCGGCAAGCCAUUUGUGCCCUCAGGAAGCGGCGGACUGGACGUGCCUACUCGCUUCAUGCUGGGCGACUGUGUCAAGAUGCUUUAUCGCUCCAUCGCCCCCGACUGGUGGGUGGCGGCGCCGGUGGUGGUGUCCACCGCCGAGGACCUCAUCGCAGUGUACUUUUCUCUUGAGAAACUCUCGAAGAAGCAGGCGACGGAGCUACUGCAGUACAUGAACGCUUGCCUCAAGUACAACGACGCCGUUCGCGAGUUCAGCCUCUCGAAGGUGGAGGAAGGCUGGGACGUGCUGACCGACGACGGGCACGUCCUGUACACGUUUCGCCCUCCAUGGGUGAAGAAGCGUGCUUUUUUGCCAGACACGGUCACCCCGCCACACGUGCACGAGUGAAACUGCGGAUAGCUGUAGGGGCGGGGCCUGUGAGUUGGAGGACGAGGGACGAGCAGCACUGAAACCGACGUGUGUGCCAAGAUGUCACGUCCGAGUUUGCUGUUGUUUAUCUUCUCGAACGAGUGUGCAGCGCAGGCGAGAAAUCCCCCUGCCUCCCUCUCCCUCUCCUCUUUCUAGGCUUCUGCCGGUAUUUCGCCUCAGACGGCCCACUCGAUUUUCUUGCCAUUUCGCUUUUCUGUUUUAUUGGUUGAUUUUACCACGUAUAGCGUGUGGAAGUGCCCGCGCACCGGUAGACAUGCAGGCAUCGUCGUCAAUACUCCACCCACGCGCGAAGUGGUUGCGCACGCGAGUGCGUGAAUGUGUGUGCGCGAAUUCGCAGAGUUUUACACGCUUUCGCGUUUGUCUUCAUGACGUUGUUGCUUGUGCGCGUGGCCCUCAUGGUGAGUGUGUGUGUGUGUGGGCACGCCUCUCGGUGCGUGGCAGCUCAGGGCCCAGUACACACGCCGACUCUCUCUGGGUGGAGGCGAAGCCGCCCGCCGCUCUCUAUCCCUGCCAAAUGCGGAGCCACCUCUGGUGGUGACAGGGUGAGGCGCCUACGACCUGGGGCGAGGUGAGAGCGAUGUGUCGCUGCUGGUGUCGAAUAGCAGGUCCUGGACGGCGUUGCGUCUGAGCGACCUGCGACCGUGGACACACGUGUGCCAUCCACAUGAUGGGCAGAGUGUCCGCGUCGCUGGAACGCACCCCACCACCCGACCCUCGCACUGCCCGCUGGUGUGGGGAGCCCGAGGCCCCUCCGAGGGGGCUGCAUCACGUGGCGACCGGCAUGAUGUGGGAGCGGCUGUGAGGCGACCUGCGCGGUGCGGCGGCGGUGGUGGUCGGGGCUUGAGGCGGAGGCGGUGCUGAGAUGACUGGGCCGACGCAUUGCUGUACCGCGUGUGCGCACCGCUGCUUCGCAGGGCGGGAUGGGGCCUGCGGCAUGCCGGGGUGGGGUGGCGCUGGAGCUCGUGCUGGACGGCAGAGGGCGGGCACACGCUGGGAAGGAAAGCGAAUUUUCAUUUGUGUGUGCGCAUCGUAUUGACGCGUGUGCUGUCGCCAACUCAAGCUGGCUCUCCCCCCUGCGUGGGAUGCUGCCCUCGGAAGCGGAGCGGAUGAACGAAGUGACAGCAGUUUUUCACUCGGAUACCUGUCUGCACCACUUGGCUGCCGUCGACCCUCCCCUCUUUCCCCUCUCCAAGCCUGCGCGCAGAUGCGGCUCUCCCUCUUUCACUUUCUUUUUGCUGUGCACCUUCUCCCCCUUCCGCAUCAUCGUCUUCCCUGUUGGUAG
rnacentral:misc_RNA from 1 species